rnacentral:tRNA from 1 species
GAUGGUCCAACCCNUUCCCCUGCUA